rnacentral:rRNA from 1 species
UAGGGAAUCUUCCACAAUGGACGCAAGUCUGAUGGAGCAACGCCGCGUGAGUGAAGAAGGUUUUCGGAUCGUAAAGCUCUGUUGUUGGUGAAGAAGGAUAGAGGCAGUAACUGGCCUUUAUUUGACGGUAAUCAACCAGAAAGUCACGGCUAACUACGUGCCAGCAGCCGCGGUAAUACGUAGGUGGCAAGCGUUGUCCGGAUUUAUUGGGCGUAAAGCGAGCGCAGGCGGAAGAAUAAGUCUGAUGUGAAAGCCCUCGGCUUAACCGAGGAACUGCAUCGGAAACUGUUUUUCUUGAGUGCAGAAGAGGAGAGUGGAACUCCAUGUGUAGCGGUGGAAUGCGUAGAUAUAUGGAAGAACACCAGUGGCGAAGGCGACUCUCUGGUCUGCAACUGACGCUGAGGCUCGAAAGCAUGGGUAGCGAACAGAAUUAGAUACCCUGGUAGUCCAUGCCGUAAACGAUGAGUGCUAAGUGUUGGGAGGUUUCCGCCUCUCAGUGCUGCAGCUAACGCAUUAAGCACCCCGCCUGGGGAGUACGACCGCAAGGUUGAAAC